UACGUAGGGUGCAAGCGUUAUUCGGAAUUACUGGGCGUAAAGCGUGCGCAGGCGGUUCGUUAAGACAGAUGUGAAAUCCCCGGGCUUAACCUGGGAACUGCAUUUGCGACUGGCGGACUCGAGUAUGGCAGAGGGGGGUAGAAUUCCACGUGUAGCAGUGAAAUGCGUAGAGAUGUGGAGGAAUACCGAUGGCGAAGGCAGCCCCCUGGGCCAAUACUGACGCUCAUGCACGAAAGCGUGGGGAGCAAACAGG
rnacentral:rRNA from 1 species